rnacentral:rRNA from 1 species
CCUACGGGAGGCAGCAGUGAGGAAUAUUGGUCAAUGGGCGCGAGCCUGAACCAGCCAAGUAGCGUGAAGGAUGACUGCCCUACGGGUUGUUAACUUCUUUUAUAAAGGAGUAAACUGAGGCACGUGUGCCUUUUUGUAUGUACCUUAUGAAUAAGGAUCGGCUAACUCCGUGCCAGCAGCCGCGGUAAUACGGAGGAUCCAAGCGUUAUCCGGAUUUAUUGGGUUUAAAGGGUGCGUAGAUGGGUUGUUAAGUCAGUGGUGAAAGUUUGGGGCUCAACAGGAAAAUUGCAAUUGAUACUGGCAGCCUUGAGUACAGUUGAGGUAGGCGGAAUGCGUGGUGUAGCGGUGAAAUGCUUAGAGAUCACGAAGAACUCCGAUUGCGAAGGCAGCCUACUAAACUGCCACUGACAUUGAGGCUCGAAAGUGUGGGUAUCAAACAGGAUUAGAUACCCUUGUAGUC